GAACGGGUGAGUAACACGUGGGCAACCUGCCCCUCGCUCUGGGAUAACUCCGGGAAACCGGGGCUAAUACCGGAUACGACCACUUUAGGCAUCUUUGGUGGUGGAAAGUUUUUCGGCGAGGGAUGGGCCCGCGGCCUAUCAGCUUGUUGGUGGGGUGAUGGCCUACCAAGGCAGUGACGGGUAGCCGGCCUGAGAGGGCGACCGGCCACACUGGGACUGAGACACGGCCCAGACUCCUACGGGAGGCAGCAGUGGGGAAUAUUGCGCAAUGGGCGAAAGCCUGACGCAGCGACGCCGCGUGAGGGAUGACGGCCUUCGGGUUGUAAACCUCUUUCAGCAGGGACGAAGCGCAAGUGACGGUACCUGCAGAAGAAGCACCGGCCAACUACGUGCCAGCAGCCGCGGUAAUACGUAGGGUGCAAGCGUUGUCCGGAAUUAUUGGGCGUAAAGAGCUCGUAGGCGGCUUGUCACGUCGACUGUGAAAACCCGGGGCUCAACUCCGGGCCUGCAGUCGAUACGGGCUGGCUUGAGUGCGGUAGGGGAGACUGGAAUUCCUGGUGUAGCGGUGAAAUGCGCAGAUAUCAGGAGGAACACCGGUGGCGAAGGCGGGUCUCUGGGCCGUAACUGACGCUGAGGAGCGA
rnacentral:rRNA from 1 species